AUUUUGGGUUCCUUGAUUUCCUUGGGAGGAUAUAGUCUUGGGUGAUUGGAUCUUCUAAACCAGUAUUCAUUGCAGAAAAGCUCUCCUCCAAGACUCACCAGAGAGCAUUCGGUGUUCUCAUCUGUCAGCAAGUGGAGACACUGCAAUGCACAAGUAAGCGCAUGAAUAAAGGACGCAGAGAUGGUGACCAGUGCCAGGAAGGAGGACCUCUAGAGAGGAGCUGGAGAAGGAUGGAGAGGGACACCGAUGGUGAAAGGCACAGAAUCGCAAUAGCUGGCCAGGUCAGCAGGGCAUCUUCCUGUGUGAUUGGCCAAAGCCUGUUUUGUUCCUUAGCAGGUCAGAGGGCAAACUCCUGCAAGCUCCUUCUAAAGCCCUCUGACGGUCUGGAAAGGAGCAAGGUGGUGAAUUCAGCACUUGGCCAGGGAAAAGCUGUACCUGCUUUAGAGCUGUAGGCUUGGG
ensembl:lncRNA